CCUACGGGCGGCUGCAGUGGGGAAUAUUGGACAAUGGGCGAAAGCCUGAUCCAGCCAUGCCGCGUGUGUGAAGAAGGCCUUCGGGUUGUAAAGCACUUUCAGUGGGGAAGAAAGCCUUGGGGCUAAUACCCUCGAGGAAGGACAUCACCCACAGAAGAAGCACCGGCUAACUCCGUGCCAGCAGCCGCGGUAAUACGGAGGGUGCGAGCGUUAAUCGGAAUUACUGGGCGUAAAGCGCGCGUAGGCGGUCUGAUAAGCCGGUUGUGAAAGCCCCGGGCUCAACCUGGGAACGGCAUCCGGAACUGUCAGGCUAGAGUGCAGGAGAGGAAGGUAGAAGUCCCGGUGUAGCGGUGAAAUGCGUAGAGAUCGGGAGGAAUACCAGUGGCGAAGGCGGCCUUCUGGACUGACACUGACGCUGAGGUGCGAAAGCGUGGGUAGCAAACAGGAUUAGAUACCCUAGUAGUC
rnacentral:rRNA from 1 species